AGUCGACUCAACAACAAGAACAAAUUGUUGACAGUAAUAUAGAAAGUGAAAAAAUUAUAGAUAUCAAUACAUCGACAACACUUACACAAGAAAGUGAUAUAGAGAAAAUUAUAAAUAUCAAUACAUCAACACAUACACAAGAUAUUAUACUGGAUAUAGAGACUUUAUCAGAAAUAAGUCAGCAAAAUUCUGAUAAUGCUUCAGACAAUGUCUCAAGUGUAUUUAGCGAUGUACCAUUUGAAAGUGAAAAUUUAUCGAAAAAACGACGUCUUGCUGAUGAUGAAUAUAAUCUUGAAGCUGUUUUAAGAAAAUCAGAUGACGGCUUGAUAGUGCUAAAUACAUAUAAAAAAGACAAUAAAUUAAAUAAUGAUUUACGAAACAAAAUUGCUAAAAUAAUUGUCAGUAAUGAGCUAACACCGAACAUAAACUGUAGUAUUACCAGAAGCAGAGCAUCAUAUUUGAGCGAACAAGUGAAAAAGUUAUUUCCUACUGAA